AUGAGCGCGGCCGGGAGGGCAGGGUGGACGCCGAAACAGAACAAGCUGUUUGAGCAAGCGCUGGCAGUGCACGACAGGGACACGCCCGACCGCUGGCACAACGUUGCCCACGCCGUUGGUGGCGGCAAGUCGGCUGAUGACGUGAGGCGCUACUACGAACUGCUCGUCCGCGACGUCGCCAACAUCGAGGCCGGCAAGGUGCCCUUCCCCGCCUACCGUCCCCCCUGCCCCGGCCCCAACGUUGGCUACGAGGCCGACAGGCUGAAGCACUUGAAGAUCUAG
rnacentral:rRNA from 1 species